ensembl:lncRNA
GAAAAUACUACAUAACUGUUCAGUGUCUUUCUCAGUUAAGGUAUCUUUCUUACUGAUAGAUAUCAACUGAAGCGAUUAGAAGCUGUGGAACAUAUUACAACAAUGACUUUAAUGGAGACAUUCAGAACAGUGGAAACAAAUUAUGAAGAACACCUGCAAUUUCUGCAGUGUGAACCCUGCAUUUUGUCACUCAAAGUUAUGCAAAUUUAUAUUCACUCCAUCUUUAGCUACUCACAAACCUAUUGUGGACUCAGCAGGACUGUGUGAUUUUACAGAACUUUUCUGUGGUUUUUGAUUUAUGUGCUCAUCCUUCAGACCGCUAAUUCACUUCAUGUCGAUAGUGGAGGGAAAGGAGAGGGAUGGGAAGAAUUUACUUUCUUCAGAUGCUUUAAAGGAAGUAGAAGAAUGUAAAGCUAUCAGUGCCUCAGUUGUUUGGCAGUCUCAUGGUCGUAAGUCACCUAGUGUAGUCUAUUUCCCCAUAUUGAGACUCUUUGCAUCUAUCUGAGUCUGUUUUUUUUCCCCCCAUUUUACAACUGUCCUUGCAUCUAUGCCAGUUUAAAGGCCUUACAAUUAUUGCAUCAUGUUUCAGUACAUUUUCCUGGAUUGGAAUGUUGAAUUUCCUUGAAAAGAGGAUGAAAAUAAGCUAUGUAUCAGUGCGCUAUACAAUAUCUUACUUGGCCCUUUCAUCCAUCUGCUGUAUAACUUCAG